AGUGAAUAGAUACCCGGGUAGUCCACGCCGUAAACUAUGGAUGCUAGCUGUAUUCGGUAUCGACCCCGAAAUGUAGCGAAAGCUAACGCGUUAAGCAUCCCGCCUGUGGAGUACGGUCGCAAGACUAAAACAUAAAGGAAUUGACGGGGACCCGCACAAGCGGUGGAGCGUGUUGUUUAAUUCGAUACUAAACGAAGAACCUUACCAGGGUUUGACAUCUCGGGAAGGUCUCUGAAAGGAGACUGUGCCAUUUGGAACCCGAUGACAGGUGUUGCAUGGCCGUCGUCAGCUCGUGUCGUGAGAUGUUUGGUUAAGUCCAUCAACGAGCGCAACCCUUAUAGUCAGUUGAAUUUUUCUGGCUAGACCGCCCGGCCAACGGGAGGAAGGAGGGGAGUGAUGUCAGGUCAGUAUUACCCUUACC
rnacentral:rRNA from 1 species